rnacentral:rRNA from 1 species
UACGUAGGGUGCAAGCGUUAAUCGGAAUUACUGGGCGUAAAGCGUGCGCAGGCGGUAAUGUAAGACAGGUGUGAAAUCCCCGGGCUUAACCUGGGAACUGCAUUUGUGACUGCAUCGCUGGAGUGCGGCAGAGGGGGAUGGAAUUCCGCGUGUAGCAGUGAAAUGCGUAGAUAUGCGGAGGAACACCGAUGGCGAAGGCAAUCCCCUGGGCCUGCACUGACGCUCAUGCACGAAAGCGUGGGGAGCAAACAGG